rnacentral:rRNA from 1 species
CUACGGGUUGCUCCAGUGGGGAAUAUUGCACAAUGGGCGAAAGCCUGAUGCAGCAACGCCGCGUGAGUGAUGAAGGUUUUCGGAUCGUAAAACUCUGUUCUAAGGGAAGAUAAUGACGGUACCUUAGGAGAAAGCCCCGGCUAACUACGUGCCAGCAGCCGCGGUAAUACGUAGGGGGCAAGCGUUAUCCGGAAUUACUGGGCGUAAAGGGUGCGUAGGUGGCCUGACAAGUCAGGGGUCAAAGGCAACGGCUCAACCGUUGUAAGCCCUUGAAACUGUCGGGCUUGAGUUCAGGAGAGGAAAGCGGAAUUCCAAGUGUAGCGGUGAAAUGCGUAGAUAUUUGGAGGAACACCAGUGGCGAAGGCGGCUUUCUGGACUGAUACUGACACUGAGGCACGAAAGCGUGGGGAGCAAACAGGAUUAGAUACCCCCGUAGUC